UCCGCAGGCGGACUAAUAAGUCAGUGGUGAAAUCUCUCGGCUCAACCGAGAAACUGCCAUUGAUACUGUUAGUCUAGAGUGUAGUUGGCGUAGGCGGAAUAUAUCAUGUAGCGGUGAAAUGCUUAGAUAUGAUAUAGAACACCGAUCGCGAAGGCAGCUUACGAAACUACAACUGACGCUCAGGGACGAAAGCGUGGGGAGCGAACAGGAUUAGAUACCCUGGUAGUCC
rnacentral:rRNA from 1 species